rnacentral:rRNA from 1 species
CCUACGGGUGGCAGCAGUGAGGAAUAUUGGUCAAUGGACGAGAGUCUGAACCAGCCAAGUCGCGUGAAGGAUGACUGCCCUAUGGGUUGUAAACUUCUUUUAUAUGGGAAUAAAAUGUUCCACGUGUGGGAUUUUGUAUGUACCCUAUGAAUAAGGAUCGGCUAACUCCGUGCCAGCAGCCGCGGUAAUACGGAGGAUCCGCGCGUUAUCCGGAUUUAUUGGGUUUAAAGGGAGCGUAGGUGGAUUGUUAAGUCAGUUGUGAAAGUUUGCGGCUCAACCGUAAAAUUGCAGUUGAAACUGGCAGUCUUGAGUACAGUAGAGGUGGGCGGAAUUCGUGGUGUAGCGGUGAAAUGCUUAGAUAUCACGAAGAACUCCGAUUGCGAAGGCAGUUCACUGGACUGCAACUGACACUGAGGCUCGAAAGUGUGGGUAUCAAACAGGAUUAGAUACCCGUGUAGUC